rnacentral:rRNA from 1 species
ACGGCGGCCGUAACUAUAACGGUCCUAAGGUAGCGAAAUUCCUUGUCGGGUAAGUUCCGACCCGCACGAAAGGCGUAACGAUUUGGGCACUGUCUCAACGAGAGACUCGGUGAAAUCAUAGUACCUGUGAAGAUGCAGGUUACCCGCGACAGGACGGAAAGACCCCGUGGAGCUUUACUGUAGCCUGAUAUUGAAAUUCGGCACAGCUUGUACAGGAUAGGUAGGAGCCUUUGAAACGUGAGCGCUAGCUUACGUGGAGGCGCUGGUGGGAUACUACCCUAGCUGUGUUGGCUUUCUAACCCGCACCACUUAUCGUGGUGGGAGACAGUGUCAGGCGGGCAGUUUGACUGGGGCGGUCGCCUCCUAAAAGGUAACGGAGGCGCUCAAAGGUUCCCUCAGAAUGGUUGGAAAUCAUUCAUAGAGUGUAAAGGCAUAAGGGAGCUUGACUGCGAGACCUACAAGUCGAGCAGGGUCGAAAGACGGACUUAGUGAUCCGGUGGUUCCGCAUGGAAGGGCCAUCGCUCAACGGAUAAAAGCUACCCCGGGGAUAACAGGCUUAUCUCCCCCAAGAGUUCACAUCGACGGGGAGGUUUGGCACCUCGAUGUCGGCUCAUCGCAUCCUGGGGCUGUAGUCGGUCCCAAGGGUUGGGCUGUUCGCCCAUUAAAGCGGUACGCGAGCUGGGUUCAGAACGUCGUGAGACAGUUCGGUCCCUAUCCGUCGUGGGCGUAGGAAAUUUGAGAGGAGCUGUCCUUAGUACGAGAGGACCGGGAUGGACAUACCUCUGGUGUACCAGUUGUCGUGCCAACGGCAUAGCUGGGUAGCUAUGUGUGGACGGGAUAAGUGC